UGAAGUGACAAAGUUUUUAGCAGUAUUCU
rnacentral:piRNA from 1 species